rnacentral:rRNA from 1 species
AGUGAACGCUGGCGGUAGGCCUAACACAUGCAAGUCGAACGGCAGCACAGUAAGAGCUUGCUCUUACGGGUGGCGAGUGGCGGACGGGUGAGGAAUACAUCGGAAUCUACUUUUUCGUGGGGGAUAACGUAGGGAAACUUACGCUAAUACCGCAUACGACCUACGGGUGAAAGCAGGGGAUCUUCGGACCUUGCGCGAUUGAAUGAGCCGAUGUCGGAUUAGCUAGUUGGCGGGGUAAAGGCCCACCAAGGCGACGAUCCGUAGCUGGUCUGAGAGGAUGAUCAGCCACACUGGAACUGAGACACGGUCCAGACUCCUACGGGAGGCAGCAGUGGGGAAUAUUGGACAAUGGGCGCAAGCCUGAUCCAGCCAUACCGCGUGGGUGAAGAAGGCCUUCGGGUUGUAAAGCCCUUUUGCUGGGAAAGAAGAGCAGCAGGUUAAUACCCCGCUGUUCUGACGGUACCCAAAGAAUAAGCACCGGCUAACUUCGUG